rnacentral:rRNA from 1 species
CCCAGACUCCUACGGGAGGCAGCAGUGGGGAAUAUUGCACAAUGGGGGGAACCCUGAUGCAGCAAUGCCGCGUGGGUGAAGAAGCACUCCGGUGCGUAAAGCCCUGUCAGCAGGGAAGAAAAUGACAGUACCUGGACAAGAAGCCCCGGCUAACUCCGUGCCAGCAGCCGCGGUAAUACGGAGGAUGCGAGCGUUAUCCGGAUUUAUUGGGUUUAAAGGGUGCGCAGGCGGAUUUUUAAGUCAGCGGUCAAAUCGUGGGGCUCAACCCCAUCCAGCCGUUGAAACUGGGGAUCUAGAGUGUGCGAGAGGUAUGCGGAAUGCGUGGUGUAGCGGUGAAAUGCAUAGAUAUCACGCAGAACCCCGAUUGCGAAGGCAGCAUACCGGUGCACAACUGACGCUCAGGCACGAAAGCGUGGGUAUCGAACAGGAUUAGAUACCCUCGUAA